GACUAUAUGAAUAUACCUCUUGACUUGAGUAGGAGUUGACAUUGAUUUUUUGUUAGAGUUGGGGUGGAGAGGUUAGUCUUAGCUAGAAGCAGGAUUCUAAGCAUUAAAUGAAUGUUUCUUUUCCAGUACAUGUGAAGAAAAAGACAUAAAAGUUUUGUGACUGAGAAAAUAAGAGCAAAGCCAAGACUCCUAUUUACCUCAUUAUGUUACUCUCUUAAGUGAAUAAUUAAUAGGAGAUCUGAACCUCUGUGAAGUAACUUUAUACUUAUGAGCAGAAGAGGAGCCACUGAAAGCUGAAGAAUAUCAAUACAGAGAUCUAAUCUUUGCGAAUCAUGCAAGCUGACAAGGACGUCUGUAUCUGCUUCAGUCUGAGAAAUAGAGUUUGAUGAAAAUUCAGCUGCUGUGAGGAACAUGUGGCACCAACAGUCUGUGAUGACUCAACAGCUGGCAGAUGGCCCUAUGCUUUUACUGAGUAAGCUGUUAUUCCUGAGUUUGCAAUUUAAUGGCUUAUAUUUUGCUGGA